CAGAUACACACGUCAAACUUAUAACACCCCUCUUUUUGGGUCGGGGGUUAAAAAACAAUAAUUUUUGCAUUACAUUUCACUCAAAGCAAUAUUGUAUCAAUGUUCUUGUUAGUCGAAACACGCAGUAAUUUUAUCUGUACAAUAUUCUGAUAGUAUCAUAAGGUACUACUAAAGUGUUU